GAAUGGUCUCUCUCGUCUUCAUCUUCAUUCUCAUUUAUGUGUGUGGGUUGCAGAGAUCAGAUCUUUUUAUGGUUUUCUGGUGAAUUUGCGGUUGUGUUUUUAGAUCUGUGGGUUGAUAGUGGUUGAAGCUGUUUUGUCGUUCUGAUGGUGCCUUUUGUCUCUCAGUUCCAUUCUCAUCUGAAUCGGGAGAUGGUCUCGAGGUUUGUACCUUCGUCAUGGAUGAAGUGGUGAUCAUGAAUUAUGUGACUGGUGAAGCAAGUCCGAUGCAAACAAGUUGAGUCUCCUCUGAUCUCUAUCAUAGCCUCCUGUCUACAUGCCGUUUGUAUUCUAAUCUUUCAUGGUUUCGUUGUCUUUUAGCAAUGAUGGGCUUUGUGCUCUGCUGGUGUUUGGUUGUAUAUUACUGGCGUUGAAGAUUUUUUAUAUUGGUCUUGGUGGCAACGGUUCAGUCAUAGUGUUGACUGUUGUUAAUCGCAAGGUCUUGACUGAGUUUCUCCGGCUCUAGUCCAACAGUUUGGAGCAUGGCUCAUGUUUACUUAAAUUGUGGGAAGUCGGAAGGUGGACUUCAAUGGCUUCUAAUCUUAUCAAAAUGGAAGCAAAUGGUUCUUAUAGAGAUGAUUUCAACUUCAGUUAUGACCGUAAACGCAAGUCUUCUCAGAUUUCUAUGAUGGUUUUUGGGCUCGGAAGCAGCCUCAAACCAAGGCAUGAUAGUGCUGUGUUUCUACGCUCUGCUGGUUCUUGGUUGGGAGCAAUCUUUGUUUUCGUCUUCCUUGUAGUGAGGUUAUGGUAUGGUAUCUAAUGAUACUACUUUCUAACCUUCAAUCUUUAUGAUUUUCCAAUUCUUUUUUCUAGAGUUGGUUUCUUGGUAUAUUUCUUCGUGUGUGGAGAACAUCUUUCUCAUUAUGUAACUCUUUCAUUUGAUAAACAAAC
rnacentral:lncRNA from 1 species